CAUUUGAAUUUUUCAUGUAGAGGAAUGCUAAUUGGUCAAAACAAUUUACAUUUCGGUUUUAUUUUUUAUUGAGUCGCAGGCUUUUCGUUGACCCAUGUGGAUGAGGUUAUUGAUGAACUCCUAACUAAAGACUAUUCCUCUGACGUUCCUCUGCCACGUGUCUAGAAAAGGAAGGGAUUGUUUGAAUUCAUCAGGACACACGCACUUACUUCAGAUGAAAUCCAUGAUGGAAUUACCCUAAACUGCAAUUUUUCUUCAGAGGUGAAUACAACUGAAGCAUGCGACGUGGCUAUCGGAUAACUCUAGGCAUCUCUCAAGGAUAUUUUCCCCUACAACAUGUAUGAUCCCUUAUGCACUGCCUCUUCAAUGCCCCACCCUGAAGUGGAGUUCGAUCCUUGUUCACCUGAGUACAUUGAAGCUUAUCUGAAUCUCCCUGAAGUGCAGAAGUCUCUCCACGUGAAUGUCAUCAGCCUUCCGCAUCUAUGGAUAUCCUGCAGAUA